GUGUGCAUAGCACAGUGGUUAGAGCAUCUCUCUGGAUUGAGGUGGUCAUGGGUUUGUAUCCCAUUGCACACA
rnacentral:tRNA from 1 species